rnacentral:rRNA from 1 species
GGGCGCAAGCCUGAUGCAGCGACGCCGCGUGAGGGAUGGAGGCCUUCGGGUUGUAAACCUCUUUUAUCGGGGAGCAAGCGUGAGUGAGUUUACCCGUUGAAUAAGCACCGGCUAACUACGUGCCAGCAGCCGCGGUAAUACGUAGGGUGCAAGCGUUAUCCGGAAUUAUUGGGCGUAAAGGGCUCGUGGGCGGUUCGUCGCGUCUGCCGUGAAAUCCUCUGGCUUAACUGGGGGCGUGCGGUGGGUACGGGCAGGCUUGAGUGCGGUAGGGGAGACUGGAACUCCUGGUGUAGCGGUGGAAUGCGCAGAUAUCAGGAAGAACACC